rnacentral:rRNA from 1 species
GUUGACCUCGGAUCAGGUAGGAAUACCCGCUGAACUUAAGCAUAUCAAUAAGCGGAGGAAAAGAAACCAACAGGGAUUGCCCUAGUAACGGCGAGUGAAGCGGCAACAGCUCAAAUUUGAAAUCUGGCCUUCUGGUCCGAGUUGUAAUUUGUAGAGGAUGCUUUUGGUUAGGUACCUUCCGAGUUCCCUGGAACGGGACGCCUUAGAGGGUGAGAGCCCCGUACGGUUGGAUGCCGAGCCUCUGUAAAGCUCCUUCGACGAGUCGAGUAGUUUGGGAAUGCUGCUCUAAAUGGGAGGUAAAUUUCUUCUAAAGCUAAAUACCAGCCAGAGACCGAUAGCGCACAAGUAGAGUGAUCGAAAGAUGAAAAGCACUUUGAAAAGAGGGUUAAAUAGCACGUGAAAUUGUUGAAAGGGAAGCGCUUAUGACCAGACCUUUUCCAGGCGGAUCAUCCGGUGUUCUCACCGGUGCACUUCGCCUGGCUUAGGCCAGCGUCGAUUUUCGCAGGGGGAAAAAGGCUUCGGGAAUGUGACUCCCUCCGGGGAGUGUUAUAGCCCGUUGCGUAAUACCCUUGUGGGGAUCGAGGUUCGCGCUCUGCAAGGACGCUGGCAUAAUGGUCAUCAGUGACCCGUCUUGAAACACGGACCAAGGAGUCGAACAUUUGUGCGAGUGUUUGGGUGAUAAACCCUCACGCGUAAUGAAAGUGAACGGAGGUGAGAGCCCUUACGGGUGCAUCAUCGACCGAUCCUGAUGUCUUCGGAUGGAUUUGAGUAGGAGCAUAACUGUUCGGACCCGAAAGAUGGUGAACUAUGCGUGGAUAGGGUGAAGCCAGAGGAAACUCUGGUGGAGGCUCGCAGCGGUUCUGACGUGCAAAUCGAUCGUCAAAUCUGCGCAUGGGGGCGAAAGACUAAUCGAACCAUUAAACCAGCGGU